AUACCUACCUGGCGCAAGGAUACCGUGAUCAUGAAGGCGGUUGCCUCAGAGCGAGGCCCCACCAUUGCACUGCAGUGGGGUCGACCUCUGCGAUUAUCCGUAAUGCGGAUAACUCGGACGCGUAAUUUUUGGUAUAC
rnacentral:snRNA from 1 species